AUGUCAAACCAUAGUGAAAAUGAUAAGAACAUAACGGGCUCGACGAGACGAAAACAUAGGCUUUGGAUUCACCUCGAUCGGAGUUACGGUCAAAAAGUUAGGCGGGGUUUUUUACGAGGGACCUAUCUGUAA
rnacentral:rRNA from 1 species